AUGUACUCUAGGCUUGCUCUUAUCACAAAUGAGAUUGCUGGCUUAGGGAGUGAAGAGAUGACCGACAGAUUCAUCAUCAAGAAGAUCCUAAGAGCAUUGGAUGGAAAGUAUGAUACCGUGUGCACAUUGAUCCAAAUUAUGCCAAACUACAAAGAUCUCAAGCCAACGGAAGUCAUUGGAAGAAUUGGUGCUCAUGAGAUGUCACUCAAGGAUAAGGAGGAACUUCACAACAAGUCAAGUGGUGCUUACAAAGCCUCAUGCGAAGCCCCCACAUCAUCAAGUGAGAAACAAACCUUCAAUGAAGAAUUGAGCUUAAUGUAG
rnacentral:rRNA from 1 species